rnacentral:rRNA from 1 species
AUUGAACGCUGGCGGCAGGCCUAACACAUGCAAGUCGAACGAGUGGCGGACGGGUGAGUAAUGUAUGGGAAACUGCCUGAUGGAGGGGGCUAACUACUGGAAACGGUAGCUAAUACCGCAUACCAUCGGAUGUGCCCAGAGGGGAUUAGCUUGUGGGGGGGGUAACGGCUCACCAAGGCGACGAUCCCUAGCUGGUCUGAGAGGGUGACCAGCCACACUGGAACUGAGACACGGUCCAGACUCCUACGGGAGGCAGCAGUGGGGAAUAUUGCACAAUGGGCGCAAGCCUGAUGCAGCCAUGCCGCGUGUAUGAAGAAGGCCUUCGGGUUGUAAAGUACUUUCAGCGGGGAGGCGUUACCCGCAGAAGAAGCAACGGCUAACUCCGUGCCAGCAGCCGCGGUAAUAC